GACGAACGCUGGCGGCGUGCUUAACACAUGCAAGUCGAACGGAAGGGCCCUGCUUUUGUGGGGUGCUCGAUUGCCGAACGGGUGAGUAUCACGUGAGUAACCUGCCCUUGACUUUGGGAUAACUCCAGGAAACUGCGGCUAAUACCGCAUAGGAGCUCCUGCUGCAUGGUGGGGAUUGGAAAGUUUCGGCGGUUGGGGAUGGACUCGCGGCUUAUCAGCUUGUUGGUGGGGUAGUGGCUUACCAAGGUUUUGACGGGUAGCCGGCCUGAGAGGGUGACCGGCCACAUUGGGACUGAGAUACGGCCCAGACUCCUACGGGAGGCAGCAGUGGGGAAUAUUGCACAAUGGGCGGAAGCCUGAUGCAGCAACGCCGCGUGCGGGAUGACGGCCUUCGGGUUGUAAACCGAUUUCGCCUGUGACGAAGCGUGAGUGACGGUAAUGGGUAAAGAAGCACCGGCUAACUACGUG
rnacentral:rRNA from 1 species